UACGGAGGGUGCAAGCGUUAAUCGGAAUUACUGGGCGUAAAGCGUGCGCAGGCGGUUUGUUAAGUCCGUUGUGAAAGCCCCGAGCUCAACUUGGGAAUUGCAGUGGAUACUGGCAGGCUGGAGUACGGUAGAGGAAGGUGGAAUUCCCGGUGUAGCAGUGAAAUGCGUAGAUAUCGAGAGGAACACCAGUGGCGAAGGCGAGCCCCUGGACAAUACCUGACACUGAGGCACGAAAGCUAGGGGAGCAAACAGG
rnacentral:rRNA from 1 species